UUGCUUUGUAUAACUACCAUCAUGGCGGACGCUCAUGACGUAGCACAUUUUGAUCACGUGGUCAUCUGUGAGCCGCCAUGUUGAUUUGACGUCACUUGCUGAACUCAGGAUUGAGUGAACGAACCACUAGGAUUCCUAUGUUGAGACUGAAUCUUUCUUGAAACAUUUCAAAAUACAUUUGCCGUAAAUGGGAGUAUUUUAUAUUUUCAGACUCCAUGAUGGCGUGAUUCUCAUUUCUCUCUCUCGACCAAUCAGAAUACAACACCGCAGUGACGUCACUAGCGCAGUCCUUCCUCAGAGGUCUUUCCGGAAGUGGGGAAAAAAAUCUUUCCGGAAAUAUCAUCAUCAUCAUCAUCUCCGACUUCCUUCAUUCACUUCACUGGUCAUGAGCUGCUCGAAUCUCAUCCUGACCCUGACCCUGAUCCUGACCCUGGCUGUGGGUUCAGCUGUGGAGGUCCAGAGGCCUCGGGGAGUCCCACUGUCCAGACGACAUUUCUAUGAUGAGAACAGCCCAUUCACUUGUCUGGACGGCUCCCGUACCAUUUCUUUUGACCGAGUGAAUGAUGACUACUGUGACUGCAAAGAUGGCUCUGACGAACCAGGCACUGCUGCUUGUCCCAACGGGAACUUCCACUGCACUAACGCUGGCUACCGACCCACCUUCAUCCCAUCCUCCCGCGUUAACGACGGCAUAUGUGACUGCUGUGACACCACCGAUGAGUACAACAGUGGAGCCACAUGUGAAAACACCUGCAGGGAGCUGGGCCGAAAGGAGAGGGAGGUUGUGCAGAAGAUGGCGGAGAUCACCAAAGAAGGUUUCCUCCUCAAACUGCAGCUCAUUCAGGAAGCUAAGAAAACACAACAAGAAAAACAGAAAAAGCUGACUGAUCUGCAAAACAGUAAGAAGGAGGUGGAGGAGAAAGUGGAAGCUAUGAGGACUAUUAAAGAAACAGCAGAACAGCCAGAGAAGGAAGCUAAAGAGCGCCAUCUUAAGGCUUGGGAGGAACAGAAAGCAGUGAUCAGUGCGGAGAAGAACAAAGCUAAAAUGGCAGAAGCUUUUCUUGAGCUAGACGAUGACAUGGACGGAUUUGUUUCAGUUGCUGAGCUGCAGACACACACAGAGCUGGAUUCAGAUGCAGAUGGCACUUUUUCUGAGACAGAAGCCCAGGGGUUGCUUGGAGGAGUUGACCAGGUAGACACGGCAGCUUUUGAAAGUGUGUGGAACAACAUUAAGGACAAGUACGUCUCAGAGUCUCAGCCAAAGGAGCCAGCACCAGCGGACACUCCAACAGAAGAAAUCAAGGAGCCCGUCGUAGACAACGACUCCGAGCCGUAUCCCGAUGACGACGAUAUUCCAGAGGAAGAGGAUGUUGAUGAGGAAGAUGAUUAUCCUGAGGAAGACCUUGAUAAGGUAAGGAAGGCUCCUUCCAGCAUCAAGACUCCAGAGAAGGUGGAGGAAGAAGACGCUAUGCCACCUUAUGAUGCUGAGACUCAAGCUUUAAUUGAUGCCGCUCAGAGAGCCAGAGAUGACUUUGACGAAUCGGAGAGAUCGCUGCGUGAAGUGGAAGAUCAGAUCAAGAACAUUGAGAAAGAGCUUUCCUUUGAUUUUGGGCCCAAUUCUGAGUUUGCUUACCUUUACAGCCAGUGCUAUGAGCUCAGCACUAGCGACGGCUCGGCUCCGCAGGCAUCCUGUGGUCCAAAUCACUCCGCCCUGAACAGCGAGUGCCCUCUGGAGGGUGCGAACUCCGGCCCUGCGCAGCUCACAGAGCGCGCGAGUGAAGCGCACGAGCAGUGAUUCGGGACUGAGCCGCUGUGUGUGAGAUCUCGGUGCAUGUCGGGCAUGCGCAAGUCACUUACCACUUGCAAGUGGAAGGAUGGCAAGCCUAAAGACAAUCAUAACUACACAAUGGGCAGUAUUUGCAUCUUACCAUGAACAACAUUAAGAAUGGCAAAGCAUUAUAUUCAUACUUUUAUACUCUUUAAUAUACUUUUUUUUAAUACUUUUUUAAUUCAUACUUUUAUACUCUUUUUACUCCAGCGAAUCAGGAAGGUGGAUGUCACAGUGACGUUGUCCAAUGACGACGUCAGCUAGAGCUCAGCACAGCGUAUCCUCGUUCCUCAAUGUUUACACAGCACCGGAUCAGAUACGAACUGGGUUGAAUACGUGGGCCCUGGUGGAUUCAAGUUGUUCCGCCUGUGGAGUCGUUUCCCGGCGUUUUAAUGUGCACGGACAAUGCAUCCGCGACGAAAACGAGACGGAUACGGUCUAAUAUAUAUCUACAGACUCUGUCCGUUUAACCGCGUUUCCCAGAAACCCAAGUACGGAGGGUCGGAGACCAAUCUUGG